CAAAGUAACCAAAGUACAGUGGGUAUAAUUAUCGUAUAAAGAAUGCACCACAAUUGUUCAAAAUUCACCGAGACACCGUUACUGUAAUAACCUUUCAUUCUCAUAAAUCAAGAAGCUGAGCUCAUGCAGUCCUGCUUGUCAUUCCUGUCUUUUUCCGCUCCGUGGGGCUUCCCAUUAUCUUGCUGUGCUGUAUCUGACGGUGUUGUAUGUAUCUGUUCGCAAGUUAGCAAACGGAUGGAUAUACCCCUUUCCAUGACGGGAUAUAGCGAAGCCCAUGAACCAAAGCAACUGGUACUCUGGAUCUAAUACCGCAGAACCUGGUCCCCUAUCCAGGAUAAACUAUGGUGAAGGCCGGACGAGAACCAAGGCAACUAAAUGGGGAAUAUUUUGAAUCCACAGAAAUAAAGUCGAAUACGCACCGCCUCAGCAAACCGAAUCCACUCACUAACCCCUUUAACGAAAGGGUCAUCGGCAGCGGGCAACUUUUCAUGGUCCCAGACCAUGAAGGCUGAGAAUGAACCUUGUUUAUCGAGUAUCGUGAAGGAUGUCCAAUCCUCACCAUCACCCUCACUCUCUUCAUCUUCAUUUUCAUUCUGAUCAAGGUCGUGGCUUUGAUCAUUCUUCUUGGUUCCGGAUUCCGAUGUUCCAUUUGUUUGACUCCACCUUAUCCAAUAAUGGUGACGAAAUUCUCGAUCGCAUUGGU
rnacentral:sRNA from 1 species